rnacentral:rRNA from 1 species
CCUACGGGAUGCAGCAGUGGGGAAUAUUGGGCAAUGGGCGCAAGCCUGACCCAGCAACGCCGCGUGAAGGAAGAAGGCUCUCGGGUUGUAAACUUCUUUUAUCAGGGACGAAGCAAGUGACGGUACCUGAUGAAUCAGCCACGGCUAACUACGUGCCAGCAGCCGCGGUAAUACGUAGGUGGCAAGCGUUAUCCGGAUUUACUGGGUGUAAAGGGCGUGUAGGCGGGAAAGCAAGUCAGAUGUGAAAACCAUGGGCUCAACCUGUGGCCUGCAGUUGAAACUGUUUUUCUUGAGUACUGGAGAGGGAGACGGAAUUCCUAGGGUAGCGGUGAAAUGCGUAGAUAGUAGGAGGAACACCAGUGGCGAAGGCGGUCUGCUGGACAGCAACUGACGCUGAGGCGCGAAAGCGUGGGGAGCAAACAGGAUUAGAUACCCCUUGUAGUC